UACGGAGGGUGCGAGCGUUGUCCGGAAUCACUGGGCGUAAAGGGCGCGUAGGCGGCCUGAUAAGUAGGGGGUGAAAUCCUGCGGCUUAACCGCAGGGCUGCCUUCUAAACUGUCGGGCUAGAGCACGGUAGAGGCAGAUGGAAUUCCCGGUGUAGCGGUGGAAUGCGUAGAGAUCGGGAAGAACAUCAGUGGCGAAGGCGACACGCUGGGCCGUACCUGACGCUAAAGCGCGACAGCAUGGGGAGCAAACGGG
rnacentral:rRNA from 1 species